rnacentral:sRNA from 1 species
GCUGGGCGCAGUGGUGCAUGCCUGUAAUCCCAGCAACUCAGGAGGCUGAGGCAGGAGAAUCUCGAGUUCAAAGCCAGCCUCAGAAACUUAAUGAGGCCCUGUCUCUA